rnacentral:rRNA from 1 species
UGGGGAAUCUUGCACAAUGGGGGCAACCCUGAUGCAGCGACGCCGCGUGAGCGAUGAAGCCCUUCGGGGCGUAAAGCUCUUUCGACCGGAACGAUAAUGACGGUACCGGGAGAAGAAGCUGCGGCUAACUACGUGCCAGCAGCCGCGGUAAUACGUAGGCAGCAAGCGUUGUUCGGAGUUACUGGGCGUAAAGAGUGCGUAGGCGGUUUUCUAAGUUCGGUGUGAAAUCUCCCGGCUUAACUGGGAGGGUGCGCCGAAGACUGGGAAGCUGGAGUGUGGGAAAGGCAGGCGGAAUUCCUGGUGUAGCGGUGAAAUGCGUAGAUAUCAGGAGGAACACCGGCGGUGUAGACGGCUUGCUAAGCCAUAACUGACGCUGAGGCACGAAAGCGUGGGUAGCAAACA